ACAGUGACAGGUCCUCCAGCUUAACCCCUUUGAACACAACCCAUUAGAGCGCAAUAUGGUUCAUCUGUUUUCUGCCUAUGUUUGCAAAGGCCGAGACACAAAACAACUUAGUUAGGAUUAGGGUAAUGUAGAGGACCUUGAUCAUCAUAUUAUAUUAAACAUGUUAAGAUUAAGGAACAUAGUUAAAAAAUAAAAGCAUUUUGAUAUAAAAAAAGUGUUUUGCUGACCCAUCCACUAACCCUGACCUCCACCCUAUGUGGACUUUGCAGCCCAAUAACAACACCUUUUUUCCUCAUUAGUUCACGUUUUCUAGCACUUCGAUUAAGUUUAGAUAAUAAAACAACUUGUUUGGGUUUAAGAAAACAUGAUUUGGAUUAAAGUACAGCCCUUUAAGAAUUUAAGCCUAAUUUUACCCAUGUGCCCCGUUGGUCCUGCCAUACUUACUAUGACCAUGGAAGGAAAUUAUUUCUCUUGGAGACUGCCUUGUUACCUGACAUAAAUCCAUGAUCCAUCAAUGGGUGAACAGAUGUAGAUGGAAGUUUUUAAGGCUCUGAUAUGAAGAAAUUGUUCUUUAACAUGAAUAAAAUCAGCUAUUUGCUACUAAAAAUAAAUAAUCUUCUCUUUUUAAAUUAGAAAAACAGAUAUUUUAAAAGUUAAUCUCAUUUUCUCAGGUAAAAGCAUUGCAUUGCUUUGCUCAAAUAAGAAAAUACUUCAGUACCUAUUUGUUCCAAACACAACAACAAGGAAAGGCCACAUGAUAAGAUUUAAGUGUCCUCUGAAAUACUCCUGUUUGCGCUCUUGAAGGAAGAAUCGUUUACUGUUAGUUUUUUUUUUCCCUCUCUCAGCAGAAGUGCUUCCACAAAGAGUUUCUUUCAUGGACUCUUCGAGACAAGCAAACUUAGUGUUGUUUGGCAGCAACAGUCAGACUAUUACAUGUGCUCCAGAGAAAAAAGGGGAAUUUAGAAUAAAUGUUAAUGAAAGCACGGACAAUCCCCAUCAAGUCUAUGACCAGCUGAACUGGAUCACUGUGGGGAGACUGUGAUUUACAGAUAGCUUCUCAUCCCUUUUACUGGCAGGCCAUCUUUACCUUGAGCACUGGGAGAUAGGUGGUGCGGGCGAAAAGACCUCUUGGAAAAUGUCAGCAACUGUCAGAGCCCCAAAUUUCUUCCAUUAACUCGUUCUUUCCUCUGUGAUGCUACCUUCUUGAAACCCCUUAAUUACAUAACCCCUUUCUCCUAUCACCCAAUGUUUUGUAUCCAAGUAAAGUGUAUGACUUCAGGUCGUGUGGCUUUUUUUUUUUUCUUAUAUAGCUUAAAAUUGAGGGUAACAAAACGAUCCUAGCCCCAUAUUUUUGCCCAUGUGAGCAAAAACAAACACACACAUGCACACUCGCACACACAAAAGGAAAAUGCAGUGACU
rnacentral:lncRNA from 1 species